UGGGGAAUAUUGCACAAAUGGGCGCAAGCCUGAUGCAGCCAUGCCGCGUGUGUGAAGAAGGCCUUCGGGUUGUAAAGCACUUUCAGCGAGGAGGAAGGUGGUGAACUUAAUACGUUCAUCAAUUGACGUUACUCGCAGAAGAAGCACCGGCUAACUCCGUGCCAGCAGCCGCGGUAAUACGGAGGGUGCAAGCGUUAAUCGGAAUUACUGGGCGUAAAGCGCACGCAGGCGGUUUGUUAAGUCAGAUGUGAAAUCCCCGGGCUCAACCUGGGAACUGCAUUUGAAAACUGGCAAGCUAGAGUCUCGUAGAGGGGGGUGAGAAUUCCAGGUGUAGCGGUGAAAUGCGUAGAGAUCUGGAGGAAUACCGGUGGCGAAGGCGGCCCCCUGGACGAAGACUGACGCUCAGGUGCGAAAAGCGUGGGGAGCAAAACAGGAUUAGAUACCCUGGUAGUCCACGCUGUAAACGAUGUCGAUUUUGGAGGUUGUGUCCUUGAGGCGUGGCUUCCGGAGCUAACGCGUUAAAUCGACCGCCUGGGGAGUACGGCCGCAAGGUUAAAACUC
rnacentral:rRNA from 1 species